AUGCCAUGGACAACGCCUGGGAAAAAUGAGCCUUUUCUGUACAACACUCGGAGGAAUGGAGACUACGUCGUGGUUAAUGGCUCUAUAAGGAGGCGGGAUUCUUUCAUGCAUAUGCGAGUCUACUCAAUCAGGCUUGUUACUAACUACAAUGAGAUUACUCACCACUUCCUCCAUUGCAUAUACGUCUCCCUCGAUCUUCAGAAGCAGUUGAGGGAGAGAGAAAUGAAUAUUCGUCGGGCGAAUCUCGUGGUGGCCUGCCGAUGGGAUGGCCCAUGUCGUCCAAGGGCGCCGAACCGCAUGUCUUAUUCCUCAGCCGCAUGA
rnacentral:rRNA from 1 species